rnacentral:tRNA from 1 species
GGAGAGAUGUCCGAGUGGUUGAAGGAGCACGAUUGGAAAUCGUGUAGGCGCUUAUACCGCCUCGAGGGUUCGAAUCCCUCUCUCUCCGCCA